AAGUGCGGAAGAGAUAACCGCUGAAAGCAUCUAAGCGGGAAACUUGCCUCGAGAUGAGUCUUCCCUGUCGCUUAAAGCGACCUAAAGGAACGUUUAAGACGAAGACGUUGAUAGGCUGGGUGUGUAAGCGUAGCGAUACGUUGAGCUAACCAGUACUAAUGAACCGUGAGGCUUAACCUG
rnacentral:rRNA from 1 species